rnacentral:rRNA from 1 species
GUGUUCAAUUCUGUUUGAUCCUGGCAGAUGCUACUGCUAUUGGGAUUCGAUUAAGCCAUGCAAGUCGAACGAGUUUAGGCUCGUGGCGUACGGCUCAGUAACACGUGGAUAACCUACCCUUAGGACUGGGAUAACCUUGGGAAACUGAGGAUAAUA